AGAUCAACCUGAGCUCUACGCCUCCUACGUGUACCUCAGCAUCUCUUUCUAUUUUGACCGGGAUGAUGUGGUUCUAAAGAACUUUGCCAAGUAUUUCCUGCACCAUCGGAGGAGUGGCGUGUAGGGAAACAG